ACACAGAAUCCCGUGUGUUUUGUGACAUGUAACCACAUGUGCCCAUAACAGAGGAAACAGCUAAUGGCAAACUCCCAUAACGAAUGUUUAAUCUGCAGUUUUUGGCAAGAAGCUGGGUAUUUGGUUGCCAACAGCUGCAUUACAUGAAUUUUGAGAGGUUGAGAUGGAGUUUAUGGUUAUGACACAGCUCUAGAGAUAGGGGCAUUAAUAAUACAUUGAAAAUAAUACUAAUCAAAACAAUAAUAAUUCAAUAAUUUCUAAAAGUCACAAGAAGGGAGAAGAAAUUACAUUGGAGAUGGUCUCACUUUCCCUGAGAUCUACCUGGGCUUUUUCCACCAAUGCUUUUAGGAUAGCCUUCUUGGAAAUUGGCCACAGUACUUUGAUAAAUGCUUUCAGCCGUCCAGAUCCAGCUUGGCUCCUACCACCACAGCUUUUAAAAGUCCUCCUCAAUUCCAGCAAGUCAGCUUGGCCCAGGCCUCAGGGGCAAGUGUGUUCUGAGGGGUAAUCAGCUCGCCAUAUACAUGUAUAUAUAUAUGAUCCAGUUUAUUAGGUCAGGUUCUAGUUGGGGUUUUAUCUCCUGGGGCCUCAGCCCAUCAACCCCAGGCAUCAGUUUUCUUCUUUACCCACUUAUUUUGCCUUUGAGAGUAUUGUUCAUCUUUUUCCAUAUUCAGGAUAUAAACCCAGGAUUCAGCUUUCCUUCUUUUAUGUCAGUCAAGAUAUCUAACUAGAAUAAGCUGCUGUGCAUCCUUUUCUGAUUUACUUCCUUCAGAUCUGAACUUUCUCGAUGGGCACUAACACUUGCAGGAAGUGGUGGGGUGAGAGAGGAGGUAGGAGAGCAACAGAGGUGGGGAGUCAUUGAUUUCUUUUAAAACCUAACAGAAUUUAGGACAUCCUAGGAUUUCAGCACUUUUGGAUCUUCACUGCGUAUUGAUGCUUCUUCACAUCUUCUUGAUGGGGAUGAGGAGCAGUGCCUGUGGGUGAGGUGUAGGGCGGGGAUCAGGAGGAAUAAUGAGGGUUAACAAGGCUAUUACAGAUUCAAGUCUCAGCCUCUCUGAAAAACUUUCUCCUCUAGUAAUUGAGAUGUGUUGGAGCAAACUUGAUCAUUCCUCUGGCACCAUGGGAUCCUAACAGAGAGGGGGAAGCUAUUUUGUGAAGAUAAAGAUGACUGAUGCUACCAUUUGAAGUGACAUCUAAUAUUAUUCCUGCGACCAGUUUGUUGUUGUUGUUAGGUGGCAGCUCUCCCAAACAGUGAUUUGGGAUAUUUUUAAAGUAUUUUUUUUUUAGUUCCCAUUUAGAGCCUAGAAUUAAAAUAAUCAAAGAAGUUAAAAUUAUUAGAAAGUCCAUUGAAAUGAGUAUUUGACCCUCCCCCACCCCCAAAGUAGUGCUUUAUUAGAAAGUAAAAUUCAGAUAAAGGAUUCGCAGGUUAAGGCAUCUUGACUCAUUUUACUAAAAAAGAAAAAAAAAACCUCACAGACUAAAAGCUGCUUUUAAAGCCAGUCAUCCCUUUGAAAAUAUGUUUUGGGAAAUGAAAAAAAUAUUUACAUAUGCAGCAUUAAAGCAGUGGUAGAAUAAAUGUAUAGACCACUCUAGUUUCUUCUGAUUUCGACUUAUUGAGAGAAAUGUCACACUUACAUACUAAUAGUGGGAAUGUCAAGAUAGGAUUGCUAGGAUUUUAGUCUUAGCACUUCCUUUUUGCAGUGAGAGUUUGAGGCUUAUUGUAAGUAGAGCAAGGAAAAAAAUGUGUGCUGAAUCAGGCGAACUAUGCCAAAUGUAGAAGAGCAAUGGUCUGAAGAGGGGAGGAGCUGGUGGAGAGAAACUUUCAUGAAAAAGUACUAAAAUAAUUGAAUGUCAUGUAGCAUGGCAAGAUGCCAGGUGGCCUCGUGUUUUUGUGUGCUCUGCUGCUGUUUUCCCUCCCUGCCUUCAUCUUCAGCCUUCCCACAGCUCUGCAGACAUAACAGAUACUGAAAUAUAUUUUGCAUCAAAGCAGCUCAAGAGGUUUUCAUCAAAAUAAAAAUAUUUGGACACACAAAGAAAUAUUUAGGCUUUUCUUUAAAAUAUAUGCCCAAUCCACCAUCAUCUACUCCAGAAAACACACCUACAGACAAAAGUGUAACUUUGUGAGAUUUUUGAAGUUUCUGCCUUUAAAAAAAAUUACACAGAUGUUAAUCAAUGUUGUAAGUCUUUAAAGUAUGCUGCUGCAAAGCUGUCCAGUAUGAUGAAUUAAAUUUUUACACUUAUUGUAAUAAUAUUAUUAAAUGUUUUGGUGUUUCAUAAACUUCUGUUUUUUCAAAAAGUGAUACUUGUUUCUGAAUACCAAUGUGUUUCAAUAAUAGUUUUUCACACAGUUGUGUUUUCUUAAAAGAGAGAGAAAUAAACUUCUGUUCUCCUAAAGGAUCCAAUUUAAAUGUAAAAAUACAGUAUGACUCCUUGACCUUGGUGCAAAUAUCUUGAUUUAUCUAGCAUAUGUGUGCACAUUACAAUAGACAUUGUUUGCUUUUACUAUAAAAUGUAUUUUAUUCCAAACUUUAAAAAUAAUUUAUCUGCAAUAAUCUAGUCACCUUUAUUUCUUUCUAUGGCUGUCGUCAUUUUUCCAGGAAGUUCUGAACAUAAUAAAGACCGUUAACGCUAGACUUCCUCUAUGACACAUAUAGAAGUGCAUAAGUAAGUUAAACUGUAUUCAA
rnacentral:lncRNA from 1 species